GGCCACAAGAGGGAGCUGACGAUCACUUAAUUUUCAUUUGACUUUUACACAUUUAACUUAGUAAAUAUUGCCUUAUUUUGUCUGAGUACGUAAAUUUUAAAGUAGACUAGAAGUUUUGGAAGUCAGUGAUCAAACCAAAAGUCUACUGGCACUGUAAGAAGUAAUGUAGAAACCGAAGUGCAGUUUUCAUCCUCUCCGCGAGGCGGCGGAAGCGACUGAUCGGGUUCAGUGUGACACCUUCAGAUGUUUGUCAACUUGACGCUUGAUUAACAGUCGCUCACCGCAGCUCUUGAAGACUCUUUAAAAGUAAUGAUUCUGCAGAUGACAGCUCAGUGACAGACUCUUAAUGUCAUUUGACAACACGCAUUCCAGCACACAAACAAACAAUACCGACCGACACACGCUGCAGAAACCGGAGAUGUUUCACGCAACUUACCUCCCACCUAUGUCUCUCUGUCUUUUUCUCCUCCGGACCUACUCCUCCACCUCGUGCUCAGUCUUUAUCUCUUGCACCGCCCCAGGUACUUUAUUCAGUUAGUCCGUGUUUCUUAUGGUGCCAUAACCAGUUUGUUUCAGGUCUGUGUAGCUGGUCUGUUUUUUCGCCCCAGUCUUGUUCUUCAGUUUCCGCCUUUGCCACCUCAGGUGUACCGCCA
ensembl:lncRNA